UUCGCAAUGCCCGAAAGGGUGACGAUGCGACGCCGCGUGAGCGAAGAAGGCCCUAGGGUUGUAAAGCUCUGUCGAGGGUUAUGAAAUAUAGAUGGGUUAAUACCCCAUUUAUUUGACAAAAGCCCAAAAGGAAGCCACGGCUAACUCUGUGCCAGCAGCCGCGGUAAUACAGAGGUGGCGAGCGUUGUUCGGUAUUAUUGGGCGUAAAGAGCACGUAGGUGGUUUUGUAAGUCAGGUGUGAAAGCCUUCUGUUCAAAGGAAGAACGGCAUCUGAAACUGCAGAUCUUGAGUGUAGGAGGGGAGAGUGGAACUUCUGGUGGAGCGGUGAAAUGCGUAGAUAUCAGAAGGAACGUCGGCGGCGAAAGCGACUCUCUGGCCUAUUACUGACACUGAGGUGCGAAAGUUAGGGGGGCAAACGGGAUUAGAUACCCCGGUAGUCCUAGCUGUAAACGAUGGGCACUAAGUAGAGGGGUUUU
rnacentral:rRNA from 1 species